CAAAUAAUGGCUUCCAAGAGGCACUCUACUCUUGUUUUGGUGGUUCUCUUAUUUCUUUCUGUGUUUCUUGCUGCUGAAGCAUCAUUGCCCAGAAAACUUGGUGCUGCUUCGGAUCCCCAUAGGUCAUCUCAAAAGGGGAGGACAUUCGUUUCCCAAGGAAUUACUGGCAAGAGUUGUGAUUGUGCACGUGGCCACAAUUUUUGUUGCUAGUUGCAUCUCUUGGAUGGCUUUCUAAAGCUACAUCAUCUUUGUCUCUUUUGUUCCUUGUUGAUUUAUUAGCUAAUAGUAAUAAUUCUGUUGUAUCUGCUAAUUGUUCUCAAAUUAAAGGACUAAAAAAAGAAUUGGUUGAUGUU